AAGCAUCAGUGCUAGGGAGCUUGUACGAUGUCAUCACCAGCAAGAAUAAGAAGUAUUGGCAGCAGCGAGCAGGCGGGCAGGCUGGGAUUUUGCAUGGAAAUCAUGAACCCUGCAUUGCUUUUCUCUUUUGAAAUGUUUUGGAAGGAGAGUUAUGAAUAGCCCAGAAAUAGGUCUCAUUUUGUGGGUGGGAAGAAUGACCAGAAGCAUGAAAGCUAAAUCUUCCAGCAAGUACACGGUACCUCUCCUGGAGUGUGCAGUAAACCCGAGAGGAGGAAUUGCCUUCUGUGAACUUCUGAAGCAUCACAUCUGGAGUGAAGAGGACGGCGAGGCAGUGCAUAAUGCAAAGGAUGCUGCUGAGAGCCUUGGUCUGCUUUUAACUCAUUGUGAUUAUUUAUAUGGUGUAUUACAGUGACAGAUUUUCAUUUGUUGAACCAUCCCUGCAUCUCUGGAAUGAAGCCUACUUGAUUGUGGUAGAUCAACUUUUUGAUAAGUUCUUGGAUUCCAUUUGCAAAGUUGGACAUCCCAAAGAUGGCAUAGAUGAACAUGACCAGGAAAAGCAGGAGGCCGAUGUUGAACAGCGCAGGAAGGGACAUCAUCAGCGCAAACAGCAGCGUGCGGAUCCCCUUGGCGCCUUUGAUCAAGCGUAGGAUUCGGCCAAUCCUGGCCAAGCGGAUGACUCGGAACAGGCUUCUUCGAUGUUGGCCUGGUUCUGUUCCUCAUACGCCAUGGCUACCACAGCCAGGAUCAAGUUUAUCAGGAGACAACAGAGCUACAGCUUCUCUAUUGGAGGAAACCUGAUGAGUAAGGAGAUGUUAACAUUGGGUAGAAACUAUUUCUGAAUUCUACCACAACACCUCGAGAGUUACAAAACUUGCUGAGAAUUGUCAUGGUUACUACAAAAUGGAUAACAUUUUUUUUUUCACAAGCAUCACGAUUUCAUUGUCUGGGAUCUCGAACUUCAUAAAAAGAAGAAAACUAACUGAACCCAAGCAUUCACUACACUGUGCUUCCUGAUUAUGGACAGAAUGUGACCAGCUGCCUCGAGGCCAUGCUUCUAUGACUUGUCUGCCAUGGUGGACUGUACCCUUAAACAAGAAGCUGCACUGCUGGAGAAUUCCCUGGCUGAUCCAUCUGUCUCUGCUGUGGACAAGAGAAGACAAGUCUCAACAACAUGUCUUCUGGGAUGUGAGCUGAACAAGCACGACAAGUGUGACACCAGUAGAUGUGCCAAAGUGGAGGAGAAAGACCCACAAGAAGAGAACAUCUAUCCUCCCUCAAAUUUAUCCUCCAAAAAAUAUCAGGAGACUUGAAUUCUGAAGUAAAGUGAACAGAUAUGAAGGAGUGAAUGUUUAUUUUAAAGAAUAAACAUGAUGAUAUUGCUUUGAAUGGAGAAUAAAUUAUAGAUAAAGAAAUCAUCGAAGUGAAGAGAGAAGUGUUCAGUCUGCAGUAUGAUUCCAAGUAAACUGUGAGGCUGACAUGAACUAACUUUCUGUCUGGGUAGAUAGAAAUUCAGAUGGAUGAGAUACACGGGAGAAGAACUAUGGAAUAGACAUAUGUUUGGGAGGGAAGGCUGGUAGAUCUUUCUAGAGGUGGACAGGAGCAAAUGGGGUCAUGGGGUAGAGCAAACAAUCAAAGGCAGCUUUGACACUGAAUGAAAUGUGAGUUACUUACUCAGCUUAUAAACAUUUAGAAAUACAUUAGAAAUGUAAGACAGCGAUUUAGGGAAAAUUAAAUAUGAUUAGCAUUGGAACACCUAACCUGGUUCAUGUAACAUAAUAAACUUUAGCUUCCUUAUAAGAGUAAUGAGAAGUUUUAGAAAAAUAUCACACUAACCCUUCUCACACUUUGUAGCCAUGUGUGCAAAUAAUACAAGUAAAUCAAAUAUGUCUUUAUUAUCUAUGCAAAUGCCUCAAAUGAUUUUCCCUUGCCAUAGAUAAGGGGAGCUGAACAUGCUAAAUACAGUGAAUAAAAGGCGCUGAUUCCUCCUCUGAAUUUCUUUGCAGCCAAAUCACCUCAGCAACAAGUAUCAAAAUACACAGAAGCAUUAUGGCUAGAUGGCUCCCAUGAUUACCUGCGGCUCCCUGAGGGGCUGUGAGGAGGAGGGGAGGAUAAGGAGGGCUGGAUGUUUUUGGCAGACAUCCAAAUCUGACUCAGCUCUCUCCAGGAGUAGCACCAGGUACACUGAAAGCCCUGCUCUGCAUCAUAGAAUUCCAAGCACACUUUAUGUAUAUCCAGCCUCGGUGAUAAUGUGACAUUGUGUACCAACUACACAAUGGUUUACUUCUAAAAGGAAACUCUCCUUUAAACAACUGUAGUUGUUUUUUAAUACUGUUAAAAAUAUUGACAUCAAUGGUCUAAACAGUUGGUAUAACCUCCAUUACAUCAAACACCAUAUUUUGUCUGGCAUCUUGUAGUGAAUGAGUUACUCUAACCAUCUUGAUAAUGUUAUACAUGGAAAUAAGAUAAAGGGGACUUUUUAAUUAUAUUUUUAAAAAGAAAUCCCAUUUAGUUUAAAUUGAAAGAAUGAAAACUCUAGUUUAAAUAGGUGAAAAUGACCAAAACAGAAAGAAAAAGGUGUCUUUUUCCAGUGCUCAGAAAAACGAGCUGGAAAAGAAAAGCUUUCUAGGCAGAAGGGACCCCACAACACCGACUCACAUUCAGGAAAUCCCACCAUUUGUGUAAAAGCACAUGCUAAUUUGGUCUUUAUCUUUUCUAAAUUAGCUUUGGAGAAAAAAAAAAAUCCCCGAGCUUCAUUCUGAAGAAAAUUGCCAUCAGAUUCAGAAAAUUUACUAUGGAUGCUAAAACUUAAAAAAGAAAAAAAAAUACCAUGUAAAACUUGUCGCUAUGAUUUUAAAGGCUGGCAUUAGUGUUUUGUUUGAUAAUCUUGUUUGGAUCACUUGCAUAUACACAUGCAAAAAAAAAAUCACCCUGAGUUCACGCCAUUCAGUUGUUCUAUCUAUUUAGUCUAAAUGAAAUAAAACAUAUCUAAGUUUCACUAUA